rnacentral:rRNA from 1 species
AGUAAAUUGGUUAAGUUAGAAAGGGCGCACGGUGGAUGCCUUGGCACUAGGAGCCGAAGAAGGACGGGACUAACACCGAUAUGCUUUGGGGA